rnacentral:sRNA from 1 species
CGACGACCGGAGGCUGCGGCGGAGCCCCGGCGGGGCGUUUGGUUUCGGUUUGGCCCUGACUGGGAUUAGUGUUGACGAUCGAAAUGGGAGUCCCCAAGUUUUACCGAUGGAUCUCAGAGCGGUAUCCCUGUCUCAGCGAAGUGGUGAAAGAGCAUCAGAUUCCUGAAUUUGACAACUUGUACCUGGAUAUGAAUGGAAUUAUACAUCACUGCUCCCAUCCUAAUGAUGAUGAUGUUCACUUUAGAAUUUCAGAUGAUAAAAUCUUUACUGAUAUUUUUCACUACCUGGAGGUGUUGUUUCGCAUUAUUAAACCCAGGAAAGUGUUCUUUAUGGCUGUAGAUGGUGUGGCUCCUCGAGCAAAAAUGAACCAGCAGCGUGGGAGGCGUUUUAGGUCAGCAAAGGAGGCAGAAGACAAAAUUAAAAAGGCAGUAGAGAAGGGAGAAACUCUUCCUACAGAGGCCAGAUUUGAUUCCAACUGUAUCACACCAGGUAAAUUCACUGAGAGACAAAUUAUGACAGAAUUGAAAUAUAAAUUGAAAACUUGGUUUUUAAAUGUAUUUUAUUUUCUAUGCUCUAUUUAUUUUGGCCUUAGGGUUCCAUUUACUGUAUUUUCCCACUUAUGUUUGCUCAUGAGACGAUUUGGUCACCUUGGUCAUAAAUACUCCUACA